GUCAACUACCCCCGACUGAAGUCGGAGGCAUGUAAGCCUCGUGGUUGACCAGCCUGAGUGCCUGACCCGAAGGACACGGGGAUUAAGGUACUAUGUUGGCAAUAGGCUAAAGACCCACUCCGGGAUGCUCCUCCAGUCCCGGACCCUGGAAGUACUGGUUGCAGACAACCUUCGGGGUGUGGGCGAAACGGACCAGUACAAGCGCCGGUUGCCAACAUUGGCGAGGAGGGGGCCGG
rfam:Fervidicola ferrireducens strain Y170 AN618_contig000056, whole genome shotgun sequence.